UCUAAGGAUUGUUUCUUCAGGACGCCGGUUGGCCCGUUGCUUCGGCAGCGCCCUGACCGACCGUUCUAUCGAGACAUCUUGGAACAUGGCGGACCCUUUCUCGGGGUCACGCCGAACAUCUGGCGGGACGGACGCCGUCCUCGUUUCUCUUUCUCUCAAACGCGCGCAAACGACCGAUCGGCUGGCGCGCGAAAAAGAUCUUGUUGGUUGCGCGCCUCCAUGGCCCCGCCCGGUUGCUUGUCGACUGCUUGAGGGUUAAUGAGCGGCGGCCGGUUUCGGGCUGGUAGCUCAGGUGGUUAGAGCGCACGACUGAUAAUCGUGAGGUCGGAGGUUCGAGUCCUCCUCGGCCCACCAUUCGACCGUCACAGGGGCCCUUAGCUCAGCUGGGAGAGCACCUGCUUUGCAAGCAGGGGGUCAUCGGUUCGAUCCCGAUAGGGUCCACCAUUUCGGUACGCUGAGAUCUUUGAGAGAAACAAAAGUUUGCGAUUAGCGCCUCGCGCUAACUCGCCUUUUCAUCGUGAAGAAGGGUCGCUUCGUUCGGUUGUCUUUUGCAACUGGCGGGCGAUGCGAGAGUCAAAUGUCUGACGCUCAUGCGUUCGGCCCGCACAACCUACGGCGGACCGUUCGACGCGCAUGGGCAUUGCUGACGAUCAAGCGUGACAAGAGUAUCCAGGGGAUGCCUUGGCAGACGCAGGCGAUGAAGGACGUGCCAUGCUGCGAAAAGCCGCGGGGAGCUGCAAGGAAGCUUCGAUCCGCGGAUGCCCGAAUGGGGAAACCCGG
rnacentral:misc_RNA from 1 species